CCUCCUCUGCUAGCUGGAACUUUCUAGAAGCAUCCAUACCCCGGACAGAGGAAAGACUGGUGUAAAAAGUGGGGAAAAGGAGUUGUUGGAACAGCUUGCCACCAGCCAUCAGCCACGCCAGGCUUACGCAGGGGGCAGCCCUCAGUGUCAGGGAUCCUGAGGUGGCAGAGGCCGACCCUGUGGGAGAGAUGGAUAACCAGAACCUGGCCUGGACUACUUACAGUCGACCAACCCAGAAGUGGCAAGAGCACGGAAGGAUUCCCCCAGCGUCCCAGGUGCCAGAGUGGGUGUUCAGUGAAGGGUGAGGACCAUCUGCCGGGGCUGGGUGAAAUCAGUACAACAUGCAGGUGCUGGGGUAUUUACCCCAGCACGUAAGAUUACUAGCAGUCCUCCAGCCUCGGCCCCCGUCCUGAUGAUGUAAUUAUUUCCCAGUGGCACCUGGGAGCAACGGCCGCCAUUCGGAGGCAUCGCUCACAGCCAAUGAGGUGCUUCGUUGCUGUGACACCCAUGGCCUUCUGGAGCCCAGACACCCCCUGUGGAGACCAGAGAGACGUGUCACCUUGAUCACUGUGUCCCCGGGAGACUGUCACACACACACAUUUAAAUUACUACGCUUGUGGGGACUUCACAAACUACAUUCAACACUCCCACCCCCCCCACCCCAAUCUUGACCUUAACCUUAACCUUUUACUAAUAAUAAGAAAAAUGCUACUAUAAACUGUAAAAUCAACCAACUAACGGAGUUCCCUCACCUUUCCAUACUUGUAAGGACACCUUCUUACCAUCUGUUUGUUUAUAGUCACAUCUUCAGUCAUACUGUCAAGCAGAGAUUGGAUAUUUAUGUUAAAAUAACUGCAUUAUCUAUUUCACUUAUAUUAAUUAAUAUGAUAAUUAUAAUUUCACAGAGCUGUAUUUGCAAUUACUAUAAUAACUGAAGAUGAACAGGGUUUGUUAGUGGACACAAAAAAGAGAUAAUGAAAGAAACCACACAUGUAAUGUGUCAGGUUGAAUAUCUUUACA